UACGUAGGGUCCGAGCGUUGUCCGGAAUUACUGGGCGUAAAGAGCUCGUAGGUGGUUUGUCGCGUUGUUCGUGAAAACUCACAGUUUAACUGUGGGCGUGCGGGCGAUACGGGCAGGCUGGAGUACUGCAGGGGAGACUGGAAUUCCUGGUGUAGCGGUGAAAUGCGCAGAUAUCAGGAGGAACACCAACGGCGAAGGCAGCUCUCUGGGACGUUACUGACGCUGAGACGCGAAAGCGUGGGGAGCAAACAGG
rnacentral:rRNA from 1 species